rnacentral:rRNA from 1 species
UUACGGUCAAAUCACGCUGAAAACACCGGUUCUCGUUCGAUCACCGAAGUUAAGCAUCGUAGAGCCAGGUCAGUAUUUAGAUGGGGGACCGCUUGGGAACACCUGGUACUGUAAG